UAGGAAAUCUUCGGCAAUGGGGGCAACCCUGACCGAGCAACGCCGCGUGAGUGAAGAAGGUUUUCGGAUCGUAAAGCUCUGUUGUAAGUCAAGAACGAGUGUGAGAGUGGAAAGUUCACACUGUGACGGUAGCUUACCAGAAAGGGACGGCUAACUACGUGCCAGCAGCCGCGGUAAUACGUAGGUCCCGAGCGUUGUCCGGAUUUAUUGGGCGUAAAGCGAGCGCAGGCGGUUUGAUAAGUCUGAAGUUAAAGGCUGUGGCUCAACCAUAGUUCGCUUUGGAAACUGUCAAACUUGAGUGCAGAAGGGGAGAGUGGAAUUCCAUGUGUAGCGGUGAAAUGCGUAGAUAUAUGGAGGAACACCGGUGGCGAAAGCGGCUCUCUGGUCUGUAACUGACGCUGAGGCUCGAAAGCGUGGGGAGCGAACAGGAUUAGAUACCCUGGUAGUCCACGCCGUAAACGAUGAGUGCUAGGUGUUGGAUCCUUUCCGGGAUUCAGUGCCGUAGCUAACGCAUUAAGCACUCCGCCUGGGGAGUACGACCGCAAGGUUG
rnacentral:rRNA from 1 species